AUCUCCGACCGAUUAAUUGUGCUUCCCAACAGACUGAAAGGCGCCCAAUUCGCAUGUCGCUGAUCAACACUAGAUCUCUCACAAAUAAGACUUUUAUAUUGAAUGACUUUUUUACGACCAAUGACCUAGACUUUCUGUUGUUGACGGAAACCUGGCUGAAACCAGGUGAUGACAGCGCCUUCUCGGAGCUCCUCCCCCCCAGCUGUUCUUUCCUCAACUCCCCCAGAGCGUCAGGUUGAGGUGGUGGGCUGGCCACUUUCUUCAGAGACAAGUUCAGAUGCAGGUUAUUACCUGCACUUAGUUUUAAUAGUUUUGAACUUCAGCUGUUCAUGGCUGAUUUGGAUUCUACUGUGUUGUGUGCAGUUGUUUAUCGCCCACCAAAACUCAACAAGGAUUUUAUUUGUGAAUUUUCUGAGUUUUUAGCAGAUGUUGUUCCUAAACACGACAAGCUCCUGGUUUGUGGGGAUUUUACUAUCCAUGUGUGUUGUCCCUCAAACCCACUUGCUAAUGAUUUAAAAGACCUUUUGAACUCCUUUGGUCUUAACCAAUGUGUGGAAGGGCUGACACAUCAUCUAGGCCACACCCUGGAUCUCAUCAUCUCCUAAGGGCUUUCAGUUUCACUUGGAGAAAUAACUGAAUCUGGUAUCUCCAAUCACUUCCCCAUCAGAUUUGAGAUCAGUGUUCCACCUCCCGCUAUUAAGCCUGUCUCCUCAGCUUCUAGGCGCCGCUGCAUCACCUCCUCUUCAGCUGGAGAGUUUGCAUCUGUGUUUGUGGGCUCACAGUUCUACAUAAAGAAUGGUCUGUUCUCUCCCUCUUCCCCAGAUAACAUUCUCUCUGAGUUCCAUUCCACAAGCACUGACAUUUUAGACUCUAUUGUCCCUUAUCGGACUAAAGCUGUUAGACCGA